rnacentral:rRNA from 1 species
UACAGAGGGGGCAAGCGUUGUUCGGAAUUACUGGGCGUAAAGGGCGCGUAGGCGGCCUGUUAAGUCGAACGUGAAAUCCCCGGGCUCAACCCGGGAACUGCGUCCGAUACUGGCAGGCUUGAAUCCGGGAGAGGGAUGCGGAAUUCCAGGUGUAGCGGUGAAAUGCGUAGAUAUCUGGAGGAACACCGGUGGCGAAGGCGGCUUUCUGGACGGUAACUGACGCUGAGACGCGAAAGCGUGGGGAGCAAACAGG